rnacentral:rRNA from 1 species
GGUCUCAGUUCAGAUUGCAGGCUGCAACCCGCCUGCAUGAAGUCGGAAUUGCUAGUAAUCGUGGAUCAGCAUGCCACGGUGAAUACGUUCCCGGGCCUUGUACACACCGCCCGUCACACCAUGAGAGCCGGGAACACCCGAAGUCCGUAGUCUAACCUAUAUGGAGGACGCGGCCGAAGGUGGGUUUGGUAAUUGGGGUGAAGUCGUAACAAGGUAAC